AACAAACGCUGGCGGCGUGCCUAACACAUGCAAGUCGAACGAGAAAGUCGGUUUCGGCCGAUGAGUAAAGUGGCGCACGGGUGAGUAACGCGUGGAUAAUCUACCCUUUAGUCCGGAAUAACUUGCCGAAAGGUGAACUAAUACCGGAUGACAUCCCGGGUUCUCCGGAAACCGGGAUCAAAGAAGGCCUCUGCUUGCAAGCUUUUGCUGAAGGAUGAGUCCGCGUACCAUUAGCUAGUUGGUGGGGUAAUGGCCUACCAAGGUUAUGAUGGUUAGCUGGUCUGAGAGGAUGAUCAGCCACACUGGAACUGAAACACGGUCCAGACUCCUACGGGAGGCAGCAGUGAGGAAUAUUGCGCAAUGGGGGCAACCCUGACGCAGCAACGCCGCGUGAGUGAGGAAGGUUUUCGGAUUGUAAAGCUCUGUCGAGCGGAAAGAAAUGCACGAUGGCUAAUAUCCAUCAUGCUUGACGGUACCGCGUAGAGGAAGCACCGGCUAACUCCGG
rnacentral:rRNA from 1 species